rnacentral:rRNA from 1 species
UACGGGGGGAGCAAGCGUUGUUCGGAUUUACUGGGCGUAAAGGGCGCGUAGGCGGUCGUGACAAGUCACUUGUGAAAUCUCCGGGCUUAACUCGGAACGGUCAAGUGAUACUGUCGGACUAGAGUACAGAAGGGGCAACUGGAAUUCUCGGUGUAGCGGUGAAAUGCGUAGAUAUCGAGAGGAACACCUGCGGCGAAGGCGGGUUGCUGGGCUGAUACUGACGCUGAGGCGCGAAAACGUGGGGAGCAAACAGG